GUCAGUGUUUGGUGGAGAAGGUCAGUGUUUGGUGGGGAAGGUCAGUGUUUGGUGGAGAAGGUCAGUGUUUGGUGGAGUGUUUGGUGGAGAAGGUUAGUGUUUGGUGGGGAAGGUCAGUGUUUGGUGGAGAAGGUCAGUGUUUGGUGGAGACGGUCAGUGUUUGGUGGAGAAGGUCAGUGUUUGGUGGUGAAGGUCAGUGUUUGGUGGAGAAAGUCAGUGUUUGGUGGAGAAGGUCAGUGUUUGGUGGGGAAAGUUAGUGUUUGGUGGGGAAGGUCAGUGUUUGGUGGAGAAAGUCAGUGUUUGGUGGAGAAGGUCAGUGUUUGCUGGGGAAAGUUAGUGUUUGGUGGAGUUUUUGGUGGAGAAGGUUAGUGUUUGGUGGAGUGUUUGGUGGGGAAGGUCAGUGUUUGGUGGGGAUAGUCAGUGUUUGGUGGAGAAGGUUAGUGUUUGGUGGAGAAGGUCAGUGUUUGAUGGGGAAGGUCAGUGUUUGGUGGGGAAGGUCAGUGUUUGGUGGAGAAGGUCAGUGUUUGGUGGGGAAGGUCAGUGUUUGGUGGGGAAGGUCAGUGUUUGGUGGGGAAGGUCAGUGUUUGGUGGAGAAGGUCAGUGUUUGGUGGAGAAGGUCAGUGUUUGGUGGGGAAGGUCAGUGUUUGGUGGAGACGGUCAGUGUUUGGUGGAGAAGGUCAGUGUUUGGUGGGGAAGGUCAGUGUUUGGUGGAGAAAGUCAGUGUUUGGUGGAGAAAGUCAGUGUUUGGUGGAGAAGGUCAGUGUUUGGUGGAGAAGGUUAGUGUUUGGUGGAGUGUUUGGUGGAGAAGGUCAGUGUUUGAUGGGGAAGGUCAGUGUUUGGUGGAGAAGGUCAGUGUUUGGUGGGGAAGGUCAGUGUUUGGUGGAGAAGGUCAGUGUUUGGUGGGGAAGGUCAGUGUUUGGUGGGGAAGGUCAGUGUUUGGUGGAGAAGGUUAGUGUUUGGUGGAGUGUUUGGUGGAGAAGGUUAGUGUUUGGUGGGGAAGGUCAGUGUUUGGUGGAGAAGGUCAGUGUUAGUGUGUUUAUGUGUGAAGUUUGUUGUUAUAUCUCGGUUCUGUGAUUGUGUCCAUGUUCUCUGCUUGGUGGAGAGCUCAGAGCUCCAGAUUCAUCAUUUCAGCAGCAGCAGCUCUGCAGAGCCUGACGUUUACCAUUUCACUCUCAGUCACAGCAGAACCAGAAACCAGAUCCUCUAAAUUGAGCUCGAUUGGUUGGACUGAAAGUGUUUAAAUAAAACAGAUCUGAGUGUGAGCGAGCGAGUGAGCGGGCGAGCGAGCGAGCAAGCAAGUGUGGCUGUCAAUCUGCGGUCUGGAACCGGACAGAGUUUCUGUUUUACUGACUAACAGAGGAACCUGCAGAACCUCAAAACUCAGCUCUGACAAGAGGAACCAGAAACAGGCCAAACCAAACCUCUCUCUCUCUUGCUC